AACAAUGAAAACUUAAUUCAUUAAGAGUGAUAUCGCCAAAACUUGAACCAAUUUUAAAACAAGGGUUCGGCGAUCCGGGCGAGCUAUAGCGCGUUGGAUUCGUCUUUCAAUUCUAGACAAUACGUAUCUUUUCCUUUUUGCUAUUAAUUGUGUACUUUUGGUGUAAAUUGGUAAAAUGCAGGCACAUGUCAUAGGGUAGGGAAAACACUUUUUUAGUAUUAACUCGAGGUAGACGAUUUUUUAAAAGUUGAAAUGUUGUGCGAAUGUGCGCCUCUAAAAGACCUAUCAUUAGAGUAUAGGCACGAGUCGGUGCCACUGUACGUUCGGGAGUAAACAAUGAAAGUUUGGUCGAUUUUCGCACAGUACUUGUGUCCAGCUACAACACCCCAUAGUCGGUUUCACGGAAAUGUUCUGUUGCAGGCCAGCAGUACUGUGCGAAAAUCGACCAUACUUUCAUUGUUUACUCCCGAACGUACAGUGGCACCGACUCGUGCCUAUACUCUAAUGAUAGGUCUUUUAGAGGCGCACAUUCGCACAACAUUUCAACUUUUAAAAAAUCGUCUACCUCGAGUUAAUACUAAAAAAGUGUUUUCCCUACCCUAUGACAUGUGCCUGCAUUUUACCAAUUUACACCAAAAGUACACAAUUAAUA